rfam:Rattus norvegicus chromosome 11, whole genome shotgun sequence.
GGGGAUCUAGCUCAGUGGUAGAGCGCUUGCCUAGGAAGCGCAAGGCCCUGGGUUCAGUCCCCAGCUCCG